GAAAUGUAACCGGAAGCAGGAACUAUGGGGACGGGGUGAGCGCCCUCCCACUUACAGCUGCAGGUAAAUAUGAAGGU